ACGGUACCUGCAGAAGAAGCACCGGCUAACUACGUGCCAGCAGCCGCGGUAAUACGUAGGGUGCGAGCGUUAAUCGGAAUUACUGGGCGUAAAGCGUGCGCAGGCGGCGGCAUAAGACAGAUGUGAAAUCCCCGGGCUCAACCUGGGAACUGCGUUUGUGACUGUGCUGCUAGAGUGUAGCAGAGGGGGGUGGAAUUCCACGUGUAGCAGUGAAAUGCGUAGAGAUGUGGAGGAACACCGAUGGCGAAGGCAGCCCCCUGGGUUAACACUGACGCUCAUGCACGAAAGCGUGGGGAGCAAACAGGAUUAGAUACCCUGGUAGUCCACGCCCUAAACGAUGCCAACUAGGUGUUGGGGGAGGAGACUUCCUUAGUACCGUAGCUAACGCGUGAAGUUGGCCGCCUGGGGAGUACGGUUGCAAGAUUAAAACUCAAAGGAAUUGACGGGGACCCGCACAAGCGGUGGAUGAUGUGGAUUAAUUCGAUGCAACGCGAAAAACCUUACCUACCCUUGACAUGUCCGGAAUCCUGAAGAGAUUUGGGAGUGCUCGCAAG
rnacentral:rRNA from 1 species